rnacentral:rRNA from 1 species
UACGGAGGGUGCAAGCGUUAUCCGGAUUCACUGGGUUUAAAGGGUGCGUAGGCGGGUAUGUAAGUCAGUGGUGAAAUCUUCGAGCUUAACUUGGAAACUGCCUUUGAUACUAUCUAUCUUGAAUAUUGUGGAGGUAAGCGGAAUAUGUCAUGUAGCGGUGAAAUGCUUAGAUAUGACAUAGAACACCUAUUGCGAAGGCAGCUUACUACGCAUAUAUUGACGCUGAGGCACGAAAGCGUGGGGAUCAAACAGG